rnacentral:rRNA from 1 species
AUUGAACGCUGGCGGCAGGCCUAACACAUGCAAGUCGAGCGGAUGAAGGGAGCUUGCUCCUGGAUUCAGCGGCGGACGGGUGAGUAAUGCCUAGGAAUCUGCCUGGUAGUGGGGGAUAACGUCCGGAAACGGGCGCUAAUACCGCAUACGUCCUGAGGGAGAAAGUGGGGGAUCUUCGGACCUCACGCUAUCAGAUGAGCCUAGGUCGGAUUAGCUAGUUGGUGGGGUAAAGGCCUACCAAGGCGACGAUCCGUAACUGGUCUGAGAGGAUGAUCAGUCACACUGGAGCUGAGACACGGUCCAGACUCCUACGGGAGGCAGCAGUGGGGAAUAUUGGACAAUGGGCGAAAGCCUGAUCCAGCCAUGCCGCGUGUGUGAAGAAGGUCUGCGGAUUGUAAAGCACUUUAAGUUGGGAGGAAGGGCAGUAAGUUAAUACCUGGCUGUUUUGACGUUACCAACAGAAUAAGCACCGGCUAACUUCGU